AGCAUGGUGGCUCAGUGGUUAGAGCACCCGCCUCAUGAACGGGAGGUCGUGGGUUCGAACCCCAGCCGAGUCA
rnacentral:tRNA from 1 species